ACAGCCCCAGUUCCCUCAGCCAUAGCCCAUAGGAGUUGUGUUCCAGGCCCUUCACCAGCUUUGUAGCCCUUCUCCAGACAUGCUCUGAGGCCUCGAUGUCAUUCUUGUAGUGAGGGUCCCAAAAUUGAACUAUUUUAAAUGCUGUUAAUAUGCCAGUAAUGCACUGAUAAAGCAAAAGGAGGUAGGUGCUGGUUACAGAAAAAACUUGUAGUGGUUACUAUGCACCAAGGAACAUCACACCCAGCCCUACUCGAUAUGGCCAGAUCAAGUCCUUUGAUAGCCUCUAUGAAUUAAGAACACCUGGCACAGGGUGCCACCAUCCUAUUCUCAUGCUGCAGGGAAUGCCUGCUUCUCCUCCCUGAUGCUGGGAACAAUGACGCUGAUCUCACCUGCAGCACACAUCCCCUGAUACAGAUGGAGCUCCUUCACUUGGCACUGUAUUAGAAAAAACAUGAUCAGGAUUGACUGCACCUGGGAUGAUGAAAAGGAAAUAGACAAGACAUUGCAUAAGAAAGAGCUUAAACUCAGUACAACUAAGAGGAAGGGUAUGGUUACUGCAAAGAACUCUCUGAAAUACGGAUAAUUGUGACCUUUUGUAACAGGAAAAAGGAUUUCAGGAUAAAGGGAAAUGGACCAAAGUCAGGAACAGGAAGGGAACAAGUUAGUUUGGAGAGGAACCAGCAUGGGAAAACAGAGCCUCACAGCUGGCAGUGCGUAGGAACAUGGAGAUGCAACAGUCUCACCUCUAUUGGGCUGUUGGAUUUGGCAGUUCCUAAAAGGCUAGAAGGAAGAUUCAAAGCCCUUGGAAUUGAGUGGGAAGAAUGAGUUCCAUCUUGAGCAGUUUCUUGACUGGGUAAUUCAGGUCAUUGGAUGUGAACCUGUGCAAAGAAGAAAAGAGAAAGGUGAGUGUUUGGUGAUUUCAUUCCGAAUAGCACAGAGGCAGCUGCUUUCCAGGGUGAUCUAUCGUUCUGGGGAAGUUUCCUACUUUCAAAAAUCAAUAUCCAUGAUCUUGCAGAUAGAAACUUCUAAGGAUCAUCCAGUCACUUCCUGAUGUUCCAAUUACCCCUUUUUUCUUAUCCAUAUGAGCAGUAGCGAUGUACAGAGGAAAAACACUGAACAGGUCAAGGGUCUCCGGUGGCACGGAUGAGAGCAACAGGCUCUUGAGAGUUAUCUUCUGUAAUCCUUCUGAUUAAGGAGAGCUGGGUAGGAACAGACAGUGAUGUCAGACCAACGCCUGACUGCAUAUUCAGUGUCACUAUAAGAGUUUUGACUUCUUUGAUGAUUGUACUUCAUUUGAAGAUUAAGGAGUACCACUGGGAAGAGAUGGAAUACAACUAAUAGAAAUUGGGGAGAAUGUAUUUGUGUACAAACGUGCUAACCCAGUGCAAAUGCUUUUAAUUGCUUUUAAUUA